ACCAGGAUGGCCAAGAGGUUAAGGCGUUGGACUUAAGAUCCAAUAAACAAAUGUCCUCGUGGGUUUGAACCCCACUCCUGGUU
rnacentral:tRNA from 1 species